AGUGAACGCUGGCGGUAGGCCUAACACAUGCAAGUCGAACGGCAGCACAGGAGAGCUUGCUCUCUGGGUGGCGAGUGGCGGACGGGUGAGGAAUACAUCGGAAUCUACUCUGUCGUGGGGGAGAACGUAGGGAAACUUCCGCGAAUACCGCAUACGACCUACGGGUGAAAGCAGGGGAACUUCGGACCUUGCGCGAUUGAAUGAGCCGAUGUCGGAUCAGCUAGUUGGCGGGGUAAAGGCCCAACAAGGCGACGAUCCGUAGCUGGUCUGAGAGGAUGAUCAGCCACACUGGAACUGAGACACGGUCCAGACUCCUACGGGAGGCAGCAGUGGGGAAUAUUGGACAAUGGGCGCAAGCCUGAUCCAGCCAUACCGCGUGGGUGAAGAAGGCCUUCGGGUUGUAAAGCCCUUUUGUUGGGAAAGAAAUCCAGCUGGCUAAUACCCGGUUGGGAUGACGGUACCCAAAGAAUAAGCACCGGCUAACUUCGUGCCAGCAGCCGCCGUAA
rnacentral:rRNA from 1 species